UACGUAGGGACCAAGCGUUGUUCGGAUUUACUGGGCGUAAAGGGCGCGUAGGCGGCAAUUCAAGUCAUCUGUGAAAUCUCCGGGCUUAACCCGGAACGGUCAGGUGAUACUGUUUUGCUAGAGUGCGGAAGGGGCAAUCGGAAUUCUCGGUGUAGCGGUGAAAUGCGUAGAUAUCGAGAGGAACACCAGAGGUGAAGGCGGCACUCUGGGCCGGUACUGACGCUGAGGAGCGAAAGCGUGGGGAGCAAACAGG
rnacentral:rRNA from 1 species